UGAAACAAAACGGGAAAUUCAAUUUCUCUCUCAUAUUAUUGAAAUCCUCCGUUAACAAAUUACUCAAAUUUGCUCUUCUCUGCAACAUCACCAGCAACCAUGGCGAGAACCAAACACCCCGUGAAACGAAGUCGCACCAAACCUUCUGUGAAAAAAUAUUUUGACCUGGCUCGACGACUUGGAGGAAAUGGACAAUCUUGGUGAAGCAAAAAAUACCAUCUUAUCCCAAGUAGAUAAUCGUAUAACUUCAAGUUCAAAUAAUCAGCCUCUGAUGGGCCAAGUAGAUAAUCGACGAUUUGUAGAUUGUUCUUAUUUGACCAUUACCUCUUUUUGUAAUUGAAUGGGCAAAUUAUCUUCAAGUUCUCAAUACUGUAGUAGCAAUUCUUUCGGCCAUAGUUUGACUUAAUUGGUCGAUGUGAUUUGGACGAGCUACGCUACGUAUAUGUCAUGCAGAAAGUAGUCUGUAUUUUAUGGUUUAGGCUGCACAUACAUAUCCUUUAGUAGGUUUUUGAGGAAAGCAGUUUCUCUUUUACCUCCUUAUGCUUUCUUUUCCAUUUUGUUUUGGGGAUCCAAGCUACUGAUCAUUUUCUUGUCUAUGUACUUCUACUUUUAGAUUUA